rnacentral:rRNA from 1 species
GGACCCGCACAAGCAGCGGAGCAUGUGGUUUAAUUCGAAGCAACGCGAAGAACCUUACCAGGGCUUGACAUCCCUCUGACAGGCGUGUAACGGCGCUUUCCCUUCGGGGCAGAGGAGACAGGUGGUGCAUGGUUGUCGUCAGCUCGUGUCGUGAGAUGUUGGGUUAAGUCCCGCAACGAGCGCAACCCUUGCCUUUAGUUGCCAUCACGUUAAGGUGGGCACUCUAGAGGGACCGCCGGGGAUAACUCGGAGGAAGGUGGGGAUGACGUCAAAUCAUCAUGCCCCUUAUGUUCUGGGCUACACACGUGCUACAAUGGCCGGUACAGCGAGAAGCAAGAUGGCGACAUGGAGCAAAUCACUAAAACCGGUCCCAGUUCGGAUUGUAGGCUGAAACCCGCCUGCAUGAAGUCGGAGUUGCUAGUAAUCGCAGAUCAGAAUGCUG